CUGUAGGUGGCUCUGGCGCGUGCGCAGAGCUGAGGCUGCACCCACGCCCUUCUCGCAAAGUUCCUGACCUACGGGCGCGCCAGGUUGAGGCGCGCAGCUGCCGGCGGAGGAGGGGAGGAACUCAGCUCACUUCUCAGGAAGGGCAGCGAUGCUGUGUCAGUUGGAAGACCCGAGCCCCUCUCCUUCGCGGUCCUUGAGUGCUGCGGUGAGCAUCCUUACCGCUUUCGAUUCCCGGCCGGAGGAGCCUGGCCGUCCCCCCUUCCCGUCUUGGUUCCUGAGGUGAAGCUGAACUCCUCGCUCCUGAGUGGAUUCUGACUUCUGGGUGCAAGGAGCCCGGUCGUGUCUGCCUCGGGUGGGACAGGUGUUGCCGGGCACACUCGCUCCAUACCGGCUUACCGGGAAGCGCAGAUUCAGGUGGUCAGGCUCAGAAUGGACGAUGAGCUUUCAAAAAUGAAAAAGAUGGAAAUCACCAACCAUGCUGCCACCUGAAUCAGUGUUUCUUUGUUGCAUUCAUACAGAGUAAAAGAAAAUUAUAUUCCUGCAUUAUAUAAUCUACCAACGACCUACUUACCUACUGUUUUAAUCUAGGUUAUUCUUGAAAGCAGAGCCUAUGACAAAUAUAGACACAUUCUUUUGGGAAAUCUGAUCCCAGGGAGCAGGAAUGAAAGAUAGAGGAGUGAAUAGGGAGAAGGAGGAAAGAAGACCCAAGCCAAAUAAGGUAGUGUUCUCUACAGUCCAUUCCUGUUAAUGGUUACAUAAUACAGAAACAUCCUAAGAUUCUUACUAAAUUUUGUUUCAGUGUUCUUCUGCCAGUGGGAUAAAAAGCAGAAAUACUUCUCUGUCAGAACAUUUGUUCUCUGUUAAAGCUGGUCCCACGGGGUUUUAACUCCCCUACCCCUCUGGGCCUCAAGACAAUGUUUGUAGGACUAUGGCAGCAUACAUUGCUGCAUUAGAGAAGCUUUGGGAUAGGAGGCUGGGUUCUUGGUACAUGCUACAGUUAGGCAGUCUCAGCACAGAUCAGGGUAAACCUUCUAGAACUGUUUACCAGACCUAUGGCUACAAUCAUAUGUUGAAAACAUGAGACAGUACUCAAGAGACAUAAAUCCAUAUAACUUGCUGUUAGACCUGUCUAAAUCUGCCUGCUCGCUCGCUUCUUUCUGUAAUCAGAAGUCAGUGUGUAUGAUAAGGUUGACAAAAGGGUGAAAUAAGAAUGUUAAUAUGUUAGAAGUUGUGUGUUUAUGGCAGUUUUAAUCUUGAGUCAUGUUUGUAAGAAAGAGAAUGUGACAGUGGAACCUGGAAAAUUUAAAAAAUGAUUCUUCACCAUUGAGAAGAGAUAUUAGAUGUCUUCUGAUCUCAUGCAGUUUCAGAAACAGUUGUAAAUUUUUUGGAGAAAAAUGAAAAAUAAAAUUAACCAUUUCUUGUUUCUUCCAUGA